GUGUCCGGUAUAGAAAAACCGGAGGUUCAUACAGGAUGGUCGGGCCGCCAUCU
rnacentral:ncRNA from 12 species